rnacentral:rRNA from 1 species
AUUGAACGCUGGCGGCAUGCCUUACACAUGCAAGUCGAACGGUAACAGGUCUUCGGAUGCUGAUGAGUGGCGAACGGGUGAGUAAUACAUCGGAACGUGCCCGAUCGUGGGGGAUAACGAAGCGAAAGCUUUGCUAAUACCGCAUACGAUCUACGGAUGAAAGCGGGGGAUCGCAAGACCUCGCGCGGACGGAGCGGCCGAUGGCAGAUUAGGUAGUUGGUGGGAUAAAAGCUUACCAAGCCGACGAUCUGUAGCUGGUCUGAGAGGACGACCAGCCACACUGGGACUGAGACACGGCCCAGACUCCUACGGGAGGCAGCAGUGGGGAAUUUUGGACAAUGGGCGCAAGCCUGAUCCAGCAAUGCCGCGUGCAGGAUGAAGGCCUUCGGGUUGUAAACUGCUUUUGUGCGGAACGAAAGUGCGCUGGUUAAUACCUGGCGUCUAUGACGGUACCGUAAGAAUAAGCACCGGCUAACUACGUGCCAGCCGCCGCAGUAAUAC